rnacentral:rRNA from 1 species
ACAGCAGCAGCCACGGGAAUACGUAGGGUGCAAGCGUUAAUCGGAAUUACUGGGCGUAAAGCGUGCGCAGGCGGUUAUAUAAGACAGAUGUGAAAUCCCCGGGCUCAACCUGGGAACUGCAUUUGUGACUGUAUAGCUAGAGUACGGCAGAGGGGGAUGGAAUUCCGCGUGUAGCAGUGAAAUGCGUAGAUAUGCGGAGGAACACCGAUGGCGAAGGCAAUCCCCUGGGCCUGUACUGACGCUCAUGCACGAAAGCGUGGGGAGCAAACAGGAUUAGAUACCCCCGUAGUCCCUGUCUCUUAUAA